GAUGAACGCUGGCGGCGUGCUUGACACAUGCAAGUCGAACGGUGAAGCAGAGCUUGCUCUGUGGAUCAGUGGCGAACGGGUGAGUAACACGUGAGCAACCUGCCCUGGACUCUGGGAUAAGCGCUGGAAACGGCGUCUAAUACUGGAUACGAGACGUGGCCGCAUGGUCAACGUUUGGAAAGAUUUUUUGGCUCAGGAUGGGCUCGCGGCCUAUCAGCUUGUUGGUGAGGUAAUGGCUCACCAAGGCGUCGACGGGUAGCCGGCCUGAGAGGGUGACCGGCCACACUGGGACUGAGACACGGCCCAGACUCCUACGGGAGGCAGCAGUGGGGAAUAUUGCACAAUGGGCGAAAGCCUGAUGCAGCAACGCCGCGUGAGGGAUGACGGCCUUCGGGUUGUAAACCUCUUUUAGCAAGGAAGAAGCGAAAGUGACGGUACUUGCAGAAAAAGCGCCGGCUAACUACGUGCCAGCAGCCGCGGUAACAC
rnacentral:rRNA from 1 species